UGCCUUUAUUUUAACCCAAUUGCGGUUUAUAUAGUCGUUGUUCGCUUGCGGACUAUGGCGAUAAACGCGGCGUUAACACCGGCUCGGACCCGGGGGCAGUACCCGGCGGCUCCACCAACAAUAUUUGCCCUGAUUCUGGUUUUGUCCGGUUUGGGCGAAAACUGUUGAUGGGGCCGAGACAGUAUCGACGGACGGAAAUAAACGUUGGCUUUUGCUCGGGUGAGGCCCGUUAAAGGCUCAAAUUGAACAGUUGCAAAUGACAACUCUUCUCAAGAAUUGGCCCUAGCAGCGUAAGCUGUUACGGACUUUUCGCAUUUAACUCCUAGCCCCUUGAAAGGCUAGGCGGGGUUCGGAGGCACCUGGCAACAGAAGCCUCCACU
rnacentral:tmRNA from 1 species